UAUCGGUGAAUACAUGUGAGUGGAGAAAAAAAAGCAAAAUGGGGGAUUGGGCUAAAAAGAAACUUAUGGAAUUUUUGUGACCUGUCAAAAAUGACAAUCAAUUUUGAAAAACAAAACAAUGGCUUUCGGAUUUUAAGAACCAAAAUUCUUUAUAAUGAAGAGGGUACCUAUAUACAAGUUCACUUCAUUGAAUAAAAAAUAUUGCCAAAAUGCAGGAAGCAAUUUCCUUUAAGUAAUUUGAAAGCAAACCAAACAAGGCGCUGAUUUGCUGAUGCUGCCCAUUGUUUUUGUAUGUACUUCUCAAUGGCAAGAGCUGCCGCAGGCGUUGACGGCGGAGGUGUCACCAUCAAAACCAUUAAAAACAACACCACCAAGUCAAUGAUGCAAGUGGAAGUUUUGCCAUGUAAUAGUCGACCGCUGACGCCCUUCUAAAUCAAUUGUGUAAGUACGUAUCGAAACAUUCAUAUCGUAGUCAACUAGCUUAAUCUUCAUCUUCUAGGUGUAAAGAGUUUACUACCAGUCUGCAGUUCUGCAAGAGACGCAAGAAAAACAAGAAUACAAUCGCAGGAACUCAAAAAUUGUCCAACCUUGACUGUAAGAGAGUUCAAAUUUUAAAUCUACAACGAAUCCAUUUAUUUUGCUAAUAAGAAUCGCACUGGCUUAACGGUGGCAAUCAUUCGGAGGCAAAUGAGCUGGCCCGACAAGAAUCCCUAAGAAGCCAAACAGAUUCAGAUCAGUCUUUCGGCAGCUACUGACGAUGUCGGCGAGUGGAAUCCAUUGAUUUUCACACAGAAAAUCAACAUAAAAAAAAUCACGACAAUUUAGCAGCGUCAUGGUCAACCUGCAGAUCAACUAUUCACAGUGAAUAACCUCCAUUCGCAGCGGAAGCGAUCUCUGCGUUGUCGACAAUGCGAAAACAAUGUCAUCAAGCCGGAGUACCAUCCAGGAUCGAUCAAGUAUCGCAUUCAAUUGCUUGCUAACUACCAUGCACCCAACGUUCUGCUUGUGCGUUGGGAAAAGCCACUGAAGCCUGGCACGUCCACUGAAUUGAUCCUCAAGCUAACUAACCCAACGAUGUACCAUAUGGCCACAACCAUUAUGAAACUGCCAACCAAGGAAGAGGAACGUCAAAUGAUCGACUUCGAAUAAAAGUUCAACGAAAGGAACCAAAUUUCACCAAUUGAAGGAAGUCCAAUAAAGUAACAAUCAAAUUGAACUUCACACCUGAAGGAGGACUGAAACCAGGCGAUGAUGUUAUCCUUAGUUUCUUGAUGAAAUAUACUUUUGUGAAUACAUACACACGCCCGAAAAGAAAGAACGUCAAAAACACGCAUUAUCAUCGAAAGUUUUUGUAAAAGUUGGUCAAAUUGAAGACUAGAUUUAUUUCUAUGUAUAUCUAGAAAAUAAUCUUUUUUGCAAAAAACUUGUUUAUUUAUUUUGAGCUAUACUGUAAUUUUGUAUAUAUUGUAU